rnacentral:rRNA from 1 species
GGACUACCGGGGUAUCUAAUCCUUAUCGUUACCCAUGCCUUCGUCCCUCAACGUCAGUUCAUACAUAGAGGAUUGUCUUCACAUUUACCAGUCAUAAAAGAGUCGAAGUAUUCCAUCACUACUCUUUUAGUUCUAUAUUAUCCUCCUAUACAUAAGAACUCUAGUAUAUAAAAUCCCAAUUAUUUCAAAGGUAUGAUUAUACCGUCUAGGUACCCUUUAUACCUAAUAAUGAUGACUAACACGGUCUCCCUUGUGUUACCGCGGCUGCUGGCAC